GACGAACGCUGGCGGCGUGCUUAACACAUGCAAGUCGAACGGAAAGGCCUCUUUCGGGGGGUACUCGAGUGGCGAACGGGUGAGUAACACGUGAGUAACCUGCCCUUGACUUUGGGAUAACUUCUGGAAACUGGGGCUAAUACCGGAUAGGAGCUCCUGCUGCAUGGUGGGGGUUGGAAAGUUUCGGCGGUUGGGGGUGGACUCGCGGCGUAUCAGCUUGUUGGUGGGGUAGUGGCUUACCAAGGCUUUGACGGGUAGCCGGCCUGAGAGGGUGACAGGCCACAUUGGGACUGAGAUACGGCCCAGAUUCCUACGGGAGGAAGCAGUGGGGAAUAUUGCACAAUGGGUGGAAGCCUGAUGCAGCAACGCCGUGGGCGGGAUGACGGCCUUCGGGUUGUAAAACGCUUUCGCUCAUGACGAAGCUUUGUGUGACGGUAGUGGGUAAAGAAGCACCGGCUAACUACGUG
rnacentral:rRNA from 1 species